GUGCUAGCUUUGGCAACACAUAUACUAAAAAACUAAAAUGAUACAGAGAAGAUUAGCAUGGCCCCUAUGCAAGGAUGACACACAAAUUCAUGAAGUGUUCCAUAUUUUU
rnacentral:snRNA from 1 species